rnacentral:rRNA from 1 species
GGCUACACACGUGCUACAAUGGCAUAUACAAAGAGAAGCGACCUCGCGAGAGCAAGCGGACCUCAUAAAGUAUGUCGUAGUCCGGAUUGGAGUCUGCAACUCGACUCCAUGAAGUCGGAAUCGCUAGUAAUCGUAGAUCAGAAUGCUACGGUGAAUACGUUCCCGGGCCUUGUACACACCGCCCGUCACACCAUGGGAGUGGGUUGCAAAAGAAGUAGGUAGCUUAACCUUCGGGAGGGCGCUUACCACUUUGUGAUUCAUGACUGGGGUGAAGUCGUAACAAGGUAACCGUAGGGGAACCUGCGGUUGGAUCACCUCCUUACCUUAAAGAA